CCUACGGGUGGCAGCAGUGGGGGAUAUUGCACAAUGGGGGAAACCCUGAUGCCGCGACGCAGCGUGUGGGAAGACGGUCCUCUGGAUUGUCAACCACUGUCCCCAGGGACGAAGAUGACGGUACCUGGGGAGGAAGCUCCGGCUAAAUACGUGUCAGAAGCCGCGGUAAUACGUAGGGAGCGAGCGUUGUCCGGAAUUACUGGGGGUAAAGGGAGCGUAGGCGGGGAUGCAAGUUGGGUGUCAAAACUACCGGCUCAACUGGUAGUCGCACUCAAAACUGCAGCUCUUGAGUGAAGUAGCGGCAGGCGGAAUUCCUAGUGUAGCGGUGAAAUGCGUAGAUAUUAGGAGGAACACCAGUGGCGAAGGCGGCCUGCUGGGCUUUUACUGACGCUGAGGCUCGAAAGUGUGGGGAGCAAACAGGAUUAGAUACCCGAGUAGUC
rnacentral:rRNA from 1 species